rnacentral:rRNA from 1 species
CUACGGGGGGCAGCAGUGAGGAAUAUUGCACAAUGGGGGGAACCCUGAUGCAGCAACGCCGCGUGGAGGAUGACGCAUUUCGGUGUGUAAACUCCUUUUAUAUGUCAAGAAAAUGACGGUAGCAUAUGAAUAAGCACCGGCUAACUCCGUGCCAGCAGCCGCGGUAAUACGGAGGGUGCAAGCGUUACUCGGAAUCACUGGGCGUAAAGGACGCGUAGGCUGUUUAGCAAGUCAGAUGUGAAAUCCAAUGGCUCAACCAUUGAACUGCAUUUGAAACUGCUAGACUAGAGUAUGGGAGGGGGAGAUGGAAUUAGUGGUGUAGGGGUAAAAUCCGUAGAUAUCACUAGGAAUACCUAAAGCGAAGGCGAUCUCCUGGAACAUUACUGACGCUAAGGCGUGAAAGCGUGGGGAGCAAACAGGAUUAGAUACCCGCGUAGUC